UACCCCAGGCUUCAAGACUCAACACCAGAUUAGUCCUAUCCUUUUGAGUGCCUUCUGCCAAUUUAUGUCUGCCACUGUUUCUCGUUCUACUAGUUCUGUCAAAUUUGUGUGGAGGAGUGGUCCUAGUUGUGUUUCUCCUGUGCAGCAGGAUUCCUGCAGUGUUAUCAGUGUCCAGACUACUAAUACCAGCUACUACAGUUCCUCGGAUCUGGACUGCUCACCUGCUUCAACCACACCGUUUUGUCUGUUGUGACUGGUUAGCUUAGCAUAAAGGUUGGUUCCUUGUUGCAACAAUAGAGGAAGAGGAAGCUCACACAAACAUCACCUCCCAUCACCAAGGUAACUCUAAUGACCAGCACUAAUGAACCAAGUGGUAUCCAUCACCUUGAUAACGACCCCACAGAGGCCCAAUAGAUGGGACUCCCUGCCAGUGUGUAAGAAGUGAAGAAGCUUCUUCGUUGAGAGGCGAAACUUCUUCAACUAUCUUCAACCAUUCCAGCAGUGUGAGUGUAUCAAGAAGUGUGUUUAAAAAAUAGUGACAUGUGGAGAGCUGGGGUUUCCACUGAGUGAGGCAUGGCGAGAGAAAACCAGUGCACAGUCUGCAGUCUUCUUAAAUACAGGUAGACAAAAGGAUGGGAGGAGAAAGAAUGGAAAACAGGGACGUGGGAGGAAGUGGACAGAUGAGAAUAAAAAGUACAAGGAAAGGAUGGAAGAAGGGGGGUAUUAGAAAAGGUGAAGCUUUGAGGAGAUGAAUGGAAUAGAAUAAUUAAGGAAUGGCUGGACUGCUUACUGAGGAACACAUAAAAUAAUCUGACAUGGAAAAGGGGGAAAUGUGCCAGCGUGUAUACAUAUAUUCUGUCUAGAUCUAUGUUCCACCUAAUCUUAGACAGGUCACUAAUGAGCAGUUACAGGCCCGUAUAAAACCUCCCGUAAGUUUUUAGUGCUUUCUUGGCAC